UACGUAGGGAGCAAGCGUUGUCCGGAAUCAUUGGGCGUAAAGCGCGCGUAGGUGGCCUCAUAAGUCCGCUGUGAAAGUCAAAGGCUCAACCUUUGAAAGCCGGUGGAUACUGUGAGGCUAGAGUACGGAAGAGGCGAGUGGAAUUCCUGGUGUAGCGGUGGAAUGCGCAGAUAUCAGGAGGAACACCAAUAGCGAAGGCAGCUCGCUGGGACGUUCCUGACACUGAGGCGCGAAAGCGUGGGGAGCGAACAGG
rnacentral:rRNA from 1 species